GAUGAACGCUAGCGAUAGGCUUAACACAUGCAAGUCGAGGGGCAGCGAGGGUAGCAAUACCUGUCGGCGACCGGCGCACGGGUGAGUAACGCGUAUGUAACCUGCCCGCAACAGGGGGAUAACCCGGCGAAAGUCGGACUAAUACCGCAUAAAACAGGGGUCCCGCAUGGGAAUAUUUGUUAAAGAUUUAUCGGUUGCGGAUGGGCAUGCGUACCAUUAGGUAGUUGGUGAGGUAACGGCUCACCAAGCCUUCGAUGGUUAGGGGUUCUGAGAGGAAGGUCCCCCACACUGGUACUGAGACACGGACCAGACUCCUACGGGAGGCAGCAGUGAGGAAUAUUGGUCAAUGGGCGAGAGCCUGAACCAGCCAAGUCGCGCGAAGGAUGACUGCCCUAUGGGUUGUAAACUUCUUUUACAAGGGAAUAAAAUGAGAUACGUGUAUUUUAUUGCAUGUACCUUGGGAAUAAGCAUCGGCUAACUCCGUG
rnacentral:rRNA from 1 species